GACGAACGCUGGCGGCGUGCUUAACACAUGCAAGUCGAACGGAAAGGCCCUGCUUUUGUGGGGUGCUCGAGUGGCGAAAGGGUGAGUAACACGGGAGUAACCUGCCCUUGACUUUGGGAUAACUUCAGGAACCUGGGGCUAAUACCGGAUAGGAGCUCCUGCUGAAUGGUGGGGGUUGGAAAGUUUCGGAGGUUGGGGAUGGACUCGCGGCUUAUCAGCUUGUUGGUGGGGUAGUGGCUUACCAAGGCUUUGACGGGUAGCCGGCCUGAGAGGGUGACCGGCCACAGUGGGACUGGGGUACGGCCCAGACUCCUACUGGGGGCAGCAGUGGAGAAUAUUGCACAAUGGGCGGAAGCCUGGUGCAACAACGCCGCGUGCUGAAUGACGGCCUUCGGGUUAUAAACCGCUUUCGCCUGUGACGAAGCGUGAGUGACGGUAAUUGGUAAAGAAGCACCGGCUAACUACGUG
rnacentral:rRNA from 1 species